rnacentral:rRNA from 1 species
GAUGAACGCUGGCGGCGUGCCUAAUACAUGCAAGUCGAGCGAACAGACGAGGAGCUUGCUCCUUUGACGUUAGCGGCGGACGGGUGAGUAACACGUAGGUAACCUACCUAUAAGACUGGGAUAACUUCGGGAAACCGGCGCUAAUACCGGAUAAUAUUUCGAACCGCAUUGUUCGAUAGUGAAAGAUGGCUUUGCUAUCACUUCUAGCUGGACCUGCGCCGUAUUAGCUAGUUGGUAAGGUAACGGCUUACCAAGGCAACGAUACGUAGCCGACCUGAGAGGGUGAUCGGCCACACUGGAACUGAGACACGGUCCAGACUCCUACGGGAGGCAGCAGUAGGGAAUCUUCCGCAAUGGGCGAAAGCCUGACGGAGCAACGCCGCGUGAGUGAUGAAGGUCUUCGGAUCGUAAAACUCUGUUAUUAGGGAAGAACAAACGUGUAAGUAACUGUGCACGUCUUGACGGUACCUAAUCAGAAAGCCACGGCUAACUACGUG